GGGGAGCCCUCCCCUCUGAGGGGAGCCCUUCUCCUCGCCGUGCGCGCUCGCCCGCCUCUUUUCUUUGCCCUUUAGCCCAAAAUGCACCUUUUUCAUUCUUUCUGCAAAGCAAAUAAAUAAAUGACAUCUAUAUCGUUCCCCUCAAAUGAGGGCUUCGGCGGUGCAGGCUGGCUGCCGGGCUGGCACCCCGCUCUCCCCUUUGUCUCUCGCUUUCUGCGAGAUGCUUUCAGCCUCGUCCGUGAUUGCGAGCCACAGGGGGAAUCGAGACCUGCCACGACAACCACGGGAUUUUAAUUCGUUUCGCCUCGCAGUCUCGGUGCCUUGGGUGGAAGCUUACGGACCUCCCCACAGCUGCUGAGGAGCUUUUAUUUCCGAAAAGCCAUGAAAUUACACCUGAUGUAGCGUGCACGGUACGCCGCGCGCAUGCAAAGCAGCGCUCAGCACGCAGGCGGGGAGGAGCGCCCUCACAGCCCCUUCUGGCGUUACCAUAGCGCUAUUGCAGAUGGCUGGGAGAAUGAAGAGCACGUGGUGGAAAGAAGUCUGAGAGGAGAAAAGCACCCAUCCUGCUGUGGCAGAGAGCCCUGGGAGGCUGUAACAAGAGGAACCCCAAGGCUCGUGGCCACAAGACUGCAGACUGCCACUCCAGGGAAUUCUGAAUACCAUCGCACCAGCCUGAGCCAGGAGGUAGGCUUUUCUGGCUUCCUUCUUCCCCUUUUUUCUCCCCUGCCCAAGACCUUCAUGGAAACCUCCAUCAGGAUGGCAUGUUAAAAUGGAACUAUAAUCAAAAAAUUGAACCCACCGAGCAAAAGGAGCAAGUGUGUAGAUUUGUUUUGUAAAUUUUCCUUUGCAUUUAUGUAAAUGCUACCUUUUUUACCUUUUUUCUUCUAUAACAUUGCUAAUUCCUAUGCAGCUCCUUUAGCAAAUAUAUUUAAAACCCAAUAAAGAUCACUGAUUCCAUUUUUCUUUUUUUUCUUUUUUUUCCCUUUUGCUUAGGCAAAGUAAUAGUUUUCUUAAGAAUAAACGAUAUUGUUUGCUGGUUUAAAUUCCAACAUUGUGGUUUUGAUUAGCCUAUUUACUCAGCAUAUCUGCUGCAACCUUUGGCACUUUUCUGAAGGAAACUAAUAAAGUAUUUCAUUGGAAAUAAAUAUAUACCACAGACCACACUACUUUUGUGCUAUUUGUUAUCAGUUCAGCAAACAUUCCCUUUUGUAGAUAAACUAUUCUGCAGAUAAACUGAACUGACAUACGUUAGGAACAUGGAGCAAUUGAAGCUAGAAGGAACCUCGGGAGAUCUGUUCUCCAACCUUCUGCUCCUAGCAGGGCCAGCUCUGAGGUCAGAACAGGUUGCUCAAGAUGUUGCCCUGUCAAGGCUUACAAAUGUCAAAGGAAGGAAUUUUCACAACAUCCCUGGGCAACCUACUCCACUGUUUGGCUGUUGCCAUGGUGAAAAAGUGUUCCUUUUAUCUAGGCAGAACCCUUCAUAUUUCUACUGACCAUUGUUGUCUCAUCAUCCCUCCACUGUGCCCCACCUCCCACCCCCCUUUGAAAAGCCUGGCUCCAUCUUCUCUAUGAUCUCAACAGAUACAAGCAGCUUCCAUCAGAUCUCCAGUCAGUCUGUCCUCUAGGCCAGACAAACCCACCUUUCUCAAUGUCUCCUCAUGGCGCCCAGUCCCUACCCAUGAUGGUGACCCUCUCCAGAGAUCACAUAAGUGCUAAGUAGAUGGCUUUAACUGAUCUGUUAGUACAGUCCAAGAGGCUUUUUUGGCCUUAUUUGCUUCCAGAGCACUGUGCUGUCUCAUGGGCAGCCUGCUAUCUACCAAGAUCCAAAGUUCUCCUCAGGAUAGCUGCUCCCCACCCUGUUGUUCACCAACCCUUAUCACUGCCAGGGGUGCUUCCUUUCCCAUUGCAGGGCUUCGCACAUGUCCUUGUCAAAAUUCACAAAGGUUCUGUUUAAUUUUUUCCAACUUAGUAGAUCUUUCUGGCUGCCUUGCCCUACCCUGCCCUCAAGCAUAUGCACUGCUCCUCCCUACCUGGCAUCUCCUGCCGGCUCAGUGAGCAGGCACUCCAUCACCUCCUCCAGGUCAUGGAUAGCAACAGACAACACGGAUAACGUUGAACAGAAUGAGUCCCAGGAUAGACUCCCUGCAGUUUUCAAGGCCAGGCUGGCUGGAUCUUUCAAGGCCAGGCUGGGUGUGGCUCUGGGCAGCCUGGUCUGGUGGUUGGUGACCCUGCACAUAGCAGGGGGGUUGAAACUCAAUGAUCAUUGUGGUCCUUUUCGAGCCAGGCCGUUCUAUGAUUCUGUGAUCCUAUACCCCACUUGUUAGCACAUCCCAUUAACCUGGGAUUCUUGGCCUGAUCAUCCAACCAAGCUCUUAAGCCUCUCAUUGCCCACCCAUCCAGACUAUAACUUCGUAACUAGGAUACAAGAAUAUUGUUAGAGAUGAUUUUGAAAGCAAGCUGAAGUCAAAGUGAAUGGGAUGUGAUGCUCUCCCCAUACCCACAAAUCCAGUCAUCAUCUUAUCAUAGAAUUGCUUCAGGUUGAUCAGGCACAAUAGUCUGUUAGUAAAUCCAGACCUCUUGCCAGUCGCUUUCUCCUUCACAUGUCCAGAAAUGUAUUCCAGGGGGACAUGCUCCAUGAUUUGCCCAGUUGCCAGGGUCUUCCACCAAUGUCCAUGACAUUCUGAAGACAACAGUGGCCUUGUCAGGACAUCAGGAAGUUCUCAGUACUGUGCAUGCACCUUGUCAGGUCCCAUGAACUUCUACAGGUCAAGUACAACCAAUCCCCAACUUGACCUUCAACCAUUGCCAGGUGUUUGAGGUAAACCAAAUAUGCAGUGGGAAAAAGGAGAGGAGAAGAAAAAUCCCAUGGUAAAGGAACAGGUCAGUGAGGCUGUGACUGAAAGAAACCUGCUGCCCUUCACUCUGCAGCUUCUGAGAGCACCUUCCUGUUGCCUGGUGUGUUGGUCAAGACAGGCCAGAGAGCUGCACUUAAAAAAAUAUACAUAUUGUGAGCAGCAGAAUGGGAAGUAGCAGCUAAGGUUGAGCUGGAGGAUAGAUGAAAUAGAGAACUGUACUGAGGCUGCCAGUUACAAGAUGAAAGUCAGGCUGAUAUACUGGUAGAUGUGUUAUAGAAGGGGUAAGUGCUUGUUAGCCCAUGCAGCUCCACACAGGCCUGAAAGGGUUUCUCUUCAGGUUGGUAACACGUGGGCAACUGACAGGGCAUGCGUGCUGUUGAUUGCUUUAUGGUAUGCUUUAUCAGAAGUGUCCCUACCUAAUACAAAAUCUUAAGUUAUCUCUGUUAUCAUAACAGGGCAGCAGUGCUACAGCUGCUGAUCUCCAGCCACAUCUGCAGGCACAUCCCAGGGCCCUGCCCUGGAGUCAAAGUCUAAGGCUUUGCUCCGGGAGGAGAAGGUUUUUUAUUUAUGGGCGACUGCUGACCUCCAGACAACGAAACACACCCAAACAUUUCUGCUUGUAUUGCACUGUGUUGUAUUUUCUCUUUGCUAUUAUUACUUUGUGAGCCUGAUGGAGCAAUGAGGAGGAGGAAAGCUGAUUUAAAGUUGCUUGACAGACACAAGAGCAAUUACCAGAGCCCAUCAAGGCUAUUCUCUACUGAGGAAAGCACGAAGAGCCUAUUUUGACAAUGUGCCAUAGGCAGACACGGUCCUGCUUUAUGUUACUGUGUGAAUAAAUAGUGCCUGGCGGUGUCAUGAGUUUAUACAGGGAUUUGAGGAUCUGCUGAGGAUCUGCCAUCUAGGAGUUUCUUUUACUUCUCUGAAUGGCAUAACAAAUUAAAUAAAGCGUGCUCUCCGCAGCACACAGCUUUAUUGUGCCAUAAUAGGAAAUAGAGUAGGGCAAAACAGUUUAAAACCUUGGAAAAAAAAAAACAACAACAGGCAAGAUGGAAGCCAUGCAGGGGAUACAUCAGGGCUGAGCCAGAGCAGCCCCUUCUCAUACUGGGAAGACAUGGGGCAGCUUUCUGGUGCCAGAAAGACACCAGCUCUGGGCAAUUUUGACACAUCUCACAUACAGAAGGUAGAAGUCCCACAGGUGAUCUUUCCUUGCUGGAAAAAAGAAAGUGUUUUCUCAAAAAUUUACCCUAGGAAAUGUCUGUUCUUCUGCCUCGUGCAAAGUCCAGUAGGACAUCAGGGUCUGGCCCCACCACACAUGGUGGCUGUGUGCCUCUGUUGCCAUCAUUGGGCCAGAUGUGUCCCUCAUGCACCAUCAGAGCACCUUCUGAGCAGCCCCAGCCUUCUGAGCAGCCCCUUAUCCCUGAUUGCCAGGAUCAGGUUUUCUCUGAGGAAUACACAUCAAAAGGAGGCCAGCCCAAGUCAUUGCUAAACCAGACACUUUGGGUACAAAAAUAACCUGCCUUCCACUUUGUCCUCUGUAAAUGCAUGCAGAUGUUAAAACUGAAAGGAGGUUGUAGCAAGGUGGGGGUCGAUCUCUUCUCCCAGGUAAGCAAAAAGACAGGAGGUAAUGGCCUCAAAUUGCUCCAGAGGAGCUCCAGGUUGGAUAAUAGGAAAAAGUUAUUCUCCAAAAAGAGUGGUAGUGCAUUGGAAUGGGCUGCCCAGGGAGGUGGUAGAGUCACCGUCCCUGCAGGUGUUCAAGAACAACAGGGAUGUGGCACUGAGGGACACAGAGGGGUGGGCAUGGUAGGGACAGGUUGGGUUUGGAUGAUCUUAGAGGACUUAUCCAACCUUAAUGAUUCUGAUUCUAUAAGAGCCUGUGGAUGCCCAUGCAGUGACCUAAUGCCACCGAGGCAGGAGGCAGAGGUGUGCUUGUAGAGCUGGGAGCCCAGCAGCACUUUUACAUCCCAGUUCGGAUGCUGGACUCACCUGCCAGCCUCUUCACAGCAGAAAGACCACCAACACUUCCUGCACAUGGAUAAUGUCUUAUCUUGACAGGAGAAAUAAAGCUGCUCUUCCUAGAAAUGUACAAAUGUUAAAUCACGCUCGCUUGCUAAUAUUGCUGAAGUCUUGCCAGAGCACAAAAGAGAAACCUGGGCCAAGAUAAAUCAAUGCUGACACAGAGAACAUUGCUUGCCAGCUCAAAACCAAGUGCCCUGAGCCAACGCACACCAUUUCUACUCUCCCAGCUGCUGCCAAAUGACUUGCUUAAGAUGUGGUAUUUCAGGUUGAGAACCCAAAAUAAUGUGUUUUCGACACCGUAAUAGAUUGAUAGAGAAUUAUUCCUCUGCAAGUGUGUAACCUGAAUGCUCUGUUGCAGAAUUGCUUGGAGGCGUUUGGACUUUCUCCAUGCUUUGGAUGCUAAGUGUGUUGCGACAUGUCUUUAUUUUGACUUAGAUUUGCAUUGUCUUUUCUUCCUAUUUUUGUUUGCAUUUCAUUUGUAUUUCUUUCUGGGGGGGAAAAAAAAAGCGUAUUUGGAAUGCAUGUCCAUUUCUAAGCACACUCUUUCUAAUGAAAUGUAUUUUAAUAUUUUUUGCCAGUGCACAAUCCUGAAACUGAAGGCAACUCAUCCGCUCUGUCUUGAAGGGAAGGAGGGGAAGAUUAAGAGUCAUAAAGAAAAGUAGUAAAGACGUCAUUCACUAUGACUGCUUUAAGUUCCCCUUUCCAGACUUCACUCCUCUUCCUUAAUGUUAUUUCAUCUCAAGAUUUAGGUAGAUACAACCUGUCUGGCUCCAGCAGACUCUUGGGUUCUGCAUUUUUUCUGCCCUCUCCUCAGCAAACCCUUACUCCUAGUGCAAUUUUGGGACACUGUAGCAUCUCUCAGCCGCAGGUUCUUUCCCACACCCUCCUGGCACCUGCCACAAGAGGUUUUUCUGUGCUGGUGUCCCCUGUUGCCAUCUGUGAACAUAGCAGCUGCUGUAGGAACCCCAGCAAAAUAUUGCCUUGCUUUGUAGAUGGAAGAGGAUUUCAGUGCAUCCCUUGCAACAUGUCAGGGCUGCCCUUUCCUGCCUUACAUUGCCACACCAAGCCUGUGGGAAGGACCAGGGCUUUUCCUAGCUUUUCCUUUUUCUUUUUGCUUUUCAUUUUCCCCCAUCAGCAGCACUGCCAGAUCCCUUUUCUCUCCCUUAUUCCUUCUGUCCAAAUUGCCAUGUUCCUGCUCUGGUGAUGCCACAUCUGGGCCUGCAGCACUCUCUUCUCUUGGAGGCUGAGCAGAGCCAGGGCAUUCCUCUCUCCAGGAAGCAGCCUGAGGUUAACCCAAGUCUAUUUUAUUUUUAGCUGAGACUUUAACUGGCCAUGAAUCCGUGCAGAGAAUAUCAACAGGGAGAGAGGUCUCUUCAAAAUCUGGGAAAUCUUAAGGCGGAAGAGGAGCUGGUUGCUUGAAUUUCCCUGUGCUUCUGCCUCUGGACAGGGGUUCAGUUCACUCACCAGAGGGUUGCUGUGCACCUCUGAAGGCAAGGCAACAAGCUUUGUUGGUAGGGCUUUGCAGAUGUCAGUCUGGCUUCUGGUCUUAUCAUCAUGCACAAAAAUCAUAAUCCCUUUCAUCAGGGGUUUGAACUCUUCUGCUAGUUGGUUUGUUCACUUCGCAGAAGCAACCUACCAGGAAAAAACACAAAUAUUUUAGUAUAAACAUUCUUGUAUCAUUACAUUUAAUUUCUCUCCCCAAAUGGGAGUCUAUCACUAUUAAAUACUUACUGCUUUAAAGUUUACUAGUUUAAAAGCAUCAGAGGUAAAGCAGUGCAUUAACAAGUGGAAGGAUGGAAAUGGCUUCAGAAGAAAUACACUAUUUGUUAUCAUCUGUUCAACAGUGAACACCAUGCAGUGAGGACAUUCACCACCACUGCAACCCUAAGGGCCAGGCUCGAUCUUGGGCUUCUGUGGUCAAAAGCUGAGUGUCUUCUGUGACUUUCCUAUUGAUUGGAAAGAUGAGUGGGAUGAGUCUCCUACAGCAUUUAUUGGAGCAUCUUUGUCCAGUGGUACCUACACUUGGUGUGGUUAUGCUGAUAGAUGUUUCUGCCAUAACCUAUAAAUGAAAAUCCUCUCUAAAACUCAUUGGGAACAUCCCCAAUGAUUUUAGGAGCUGUUUGAUCAUAGAAUCAUUUGAACUGGGGGGGAUCCUUUAAAGGUCAUCUAGUCCAACUCCCCUGCAAUCAACAGGGGCAUCUACAGCUCAAUCUGAGUGCUCAGAGUCUUGUCCAAGUGGAGUCAUGGAUGGUUGUGUGGCUCCUCCCUACAGCCAGUGUAGGGUUCCCUUGCCCUACAUCGCUGUGUGACAACACUUGAAUCCUACCUUAAACACACCCAUUUCUUCUGGCUGCCAUAUCAGGAAUCCCUGAGUGCCUGACUCAGAUAUCCCCAUUGGAGACUGGGUCAGGUGAACCUCAGGGGAAACCGGCAUCACGUUUCAGAUAAACAAGGUCAGGCAGGCAGAUACACAGACCUUGCCAUCAGCAAGGCUGAAUAGUAUUAAAAGACUAGGAGGAGGGCAAGAAAACAAAAAGCUCAUUUAAUUAGCAUGACAACUCCUGAUGGAUAUUAACACGGAUCUGCAGAACCGGAGACCAAAUGUGAUGUUUCCGAUGACUCACACAGGAACGACAUUGUGAGUCACCUAUCUGUGGCUUUUCUUCAGCAGCAGCAGCACACAGAGGUGAUUAAUCUGAUUUCUCACGACAUAGCCUGGUUGCAAACCACACAGAUGACCCACAGAACAGGGAUAAUUUAAAUCAAAUUAGGUAGAGGCUAUAAACUUUGCAGAUAACAUAGUUGUUGUUUGUGAUAUGAUAGUUGUUUUCUCAAUGAAUUGCCUUCAUGUGUACAUUCAUCUGAUCAUUUUCGUUGUGUUGGGGAGGGUAAGCAUUUUACUGCUUCUGGUGAAAGUUAUGGAGAGUAAGGUGGAUAACUAUCUUGAAAAAUGAGGUCUUUGGCUUUCUGCUAAAUUAAUAUUACUACUAUUUAAUUAGCAGUGAGAAGUCCGAGGUUGGUGCACUUGCCCAGCCUUCUUUACUUUUUGCUAAUGAAAAAUGGGUCUUUUAAUAGAGCAACUUCUAAGAAGUCUGCUAAAGGUGUAAUUACUGCAUUGGCACCCUUAGCCCUUUCUUUCUAUGCUUGGAGACAACACAAUGCAGUGUUCCUUCUGUGUAGAGGCAAAGGUGGAACGACAAGGUUUUGGCUCAGAAGUUUAAUGCCAGCUCAGAAACAAUGGAAGGAAACACCAACUCAUGCCGGACCAAAUUUCUGUAAUGAUUGCUGUAAAUAAUCUUCCACCCGUCUGUCCUCUCUGAGCAACGCAGCUGAAGGGGAUCCAAAAGCAAAGAGUAAUACAGCACCAGGUCUCACGCCAGCCUGGGUCUGGUCCUGUGUAGAAGUGACAUCAGUUUCCUGGUGUUCAGUGCCUGCUCUGGCUGCUCCGGAGGUUGUGGUUUUCGUCCUUGUUCUGGACCACUCUCAGGCCAUGGGCACUGCUCUGCACCUGGUGGCCCUCAGCUUCACAGCCCCUGCAUGUAGAGGAUAACAAGGGCUGCUUUAGAUACAUGUCAUUGUUCUAGCACCUUAAGAACUGCAACUUCAUCUUCCUUUUAGCCACAAAUGAGUACAGUUUGCUUUGCAGUAAAUCUGUCCUAGAUAUUUACUGGACAAAGGAUAUCUAAAAAAAAAAACGCAAGAAUCCAGUUUAAGCUUGUUUUGCAUCAGUAAUGCACUAAAAACACUGUUUUCACCCCAUAUCCUGUUGGGUGGGGUUUCUUCAACCAACCAUUAGUAAACUGUGAUAGGACCAGAGUUGGGCACCUGUACCUUUUUACUUCACAUAACACUGCUACCACAAGGCUCAGCCAUGAGGCCAAUUUGGCAUCCAACACAGAUGAUCACUAUUUUAGAUUUACUUUCUAUAUCAAUGUCCAAGGCAAAGCAUUCUCCUCCUAGUGUUGUAAUUGACAAUCCCCUUCUUGUCCCCUCCCCUGGUUACAGAAGCUGAGAGCUCAGUGCUGGUCUGUAGGAAGGUUAGAGCAAGGUGCUGCAUCCCUGCAGGCAGGUGGCUCUGCAGGAAAUCUAGUGUGUUUCCCUCCCACCUCCUUGACACUUGAAAAUAAUACUAAAAAUAGUUCAAGAAUUGGCCGUAUCUUCAUCAAGAGUUCGCUUUGUUCAGACUUGGCAAGUAGGAGGCAUAUGGAGAUCUCUGAUGUUUAAUUUUAAAUCAUAGAAAUAUCUGCAUUGGAAAAGAACUGCAAGUCCAACCACCAAACUCACCUCCAGAGUCCCACGAACAGACUACAUCCCUCAGUGCCACAUUCACACGCAUCCCAAAUGCCUCCAGGGAUGGGGAAAAAGAUAGAUAUGGGGCAAUCAAAUAAAAUCAAAUCCACCAGGGGAAGAAUCCCCCUUGGCAGAUGAUAGACCUUGGAAAAGGACACGUAGAGCGCUAAUCCUACAGGAAGGCAAAUCUUGUCCUUGCAUAAACUUCUACUGAGUCUGGCCACCCUUCAAGUCUCUUGCAGUGCUUGAAGAAUGUGUGAGAUUUCAGCAUAUGAUGAAGACAAGAAAUCUCACCUUCCUGAUGCUAUUUUCGUUCCUCUUCACAGUUUUGCAGCUCUCCUGUUGCUGUGUUGCUGUGUUCAUGUCUCCUACAUUAAUCAUACUGCUUCCAGGCCUGCAUAGCUCAGCUGGUACUGGCAUGCCCAGCUCACCUCACAAGCCCGCCCCCCAGCAGGUUUCCAUCCAUGUCUUUAGGCUGCUUCAUUUCAUAGAAUCAUAGAAUCGCCAGGUUUGGAAAAGACCUCCAAGAUCAUCCAGUCCAACCAUCCACAACCACCAGUAUUCCCCCCCAUGUUUGUCCUGCUGUGGAACUGAUGCAUGAUACAGCUCUGAUAGAAAGUGUUUACUUUAUUCUUCCCUGCUUUGGCUGUAGACUCGGAACAUUGAGUAAUUUCUCUUCCUGCUGCAUCCCCAAGCUGCAUUUUGGCAACUAGAGCAUCUUAGAAUCAUAGAAUCGCUAUGAGUCUUGCUGCCAUCUCUGCAUCCCCAAGUCAUGUUCACAGACAAUCAACAACACUACUCCAGAACUUGUUUUCUCUGUACCACGAGCUUGUUUAACUUAACAUGUAGUGUCCUGAUGCUGUUUCUGAUAGCAAAGUAGAGCAACAAUUAUCCUCAUCACCCCAGCCUGUAAAAGAAGCUGCUGAUGCUUAGCCUUUCCCAGCACUCUGUCUCCCAAACCACCUUCUUCCAGUCUGGUGUCUAUCACAUUCACAGAAUUGUGCAAUCAUGGAAUAUCCUAAAUUAACAGGGACCGACAGGAAUGAGCAUUAUCAUCUCAGCCAGUUUCUUGCUUCAGCUUGUUGGAUCAUAAUACUUUACCUGCUGUCCCACUGGCUCAUUGCCAUGUACAUGGUAUGCAGGCUUGUGCUAGCUGCAUUUUUCCAUCCAGAUGCUUUCUUAUGGAGAUCAGCAGCAGAUACAUGCCUAUCUGACCUGCAGGCUGCCUAUUCCCAGUGCCAUCUCACAUCUGCUCCUCACUCAUUGCUUCUGCUUCACCACAGCAGACUCCUGGAGCUGCAUUUGUGCACCUUCUAGCAAAUCUGUGCUUGUUGCAUUCAAGGCUUCAUCACUUCUUCUCCCUUGGAUUUAAGUUUCUCUUCCUGUGUUCUGCGAGAGCAAGACCAUACUUUGCUGCAGGAAGGACAUAAGGGGCCUAGGGGCAGUGCCCAUAGAGACAAGCUGGAGGGCAACUUAGUUUGUUAAAGGAAGCCGGAGGAAUUGAGCAAUGGAGCUGCCAUUUGCGGAGGGGUGGAGCUCCACAGCACUUGAUCUUUCCAAAACUCAUAGCCAUCCCUCAGAAAAUGCACUCGGAGCCUUUUUAACCAAGCCUUAAUGGUUUGGAAAGCACCUCUCUGUCCUGCCCAUUCCCCGUUGCACACAGAUCAUUUGUGUUUUCUGUAUUCUUUAGCAGCAGCAAUUACUAGCCAUGGAUGGUAACAUUGCUUACAGCGCUUGAAAAGCUGACAUGCCUUCACAGAUAGAAAAAGGGAAACAAAAAACAAGCAAAACCCUAAUUAACAUGCCCUUCAUAAGAGGCAGAAGAGGCAGAAGAGGCAGAAGAGGCAGUGUGAGUGGAAGCCAGACUAAUUCUGACAGGAAACUCAACUGAUGAUUGCAGCUAUAGCUACAUGUGUUCUUCUGAGGCCUUCAGAUUAAGACACGCUCUCUGAAAGGAGUGUUGUAGUAAACUAUAUGGUCAAUAUAUAGACCAUAUAUGGCCAUGUAUGGUGUUCCUGUAGGAUGGGAGCACAUCAAAUCACAAACUGGGACCAAAGACGUGCAAGAUCCUAUGGAAGAGGAGAUCAGCACAACCUGUUUACUUGAACAAAAGUAGUGGGUGAAGUAUAGGUGAAAUAAAAUGAGAUGUAGUGGUUUGUGAUGUCCUGGAAGUCAUUGGCACUUCUGGCCUAAACAGCUUGAGUUAAUGAAUUGAUAUUAAGCAUAUGUUAUUGGGUGACAUUUGUUGUGGGUUGGUUACAUGAAGAUAUGCACUAGAUUUCUUCUGCCUGAAGUGAUACACACCUGCCCUACAAGUGUGUGUAACUUGUCUUAACUUUCUUAAAUUGGGUUAGCUUCUCUCUGCAAAUUACUACAUUCUAGUGUAAUUGAUUUAAGGAAGGGUUAAAUUGGGUUAAGUACAUCUCCAUUAUGUGCUCUUAAUGCUUUAAUUAGGUCAAUUUAAAAUCAAUUUAGAAAACUUGCCCCGGCUGGUUUAGCUAUUAUAGAUGAGAAUCUAGAUAUGGUGAAAGAGCAAAAUAAUUAAUCGAGUCAACAAUUCCUCAUUUUUUUAAUCACAAAACAUCAGAUCUCUCUGGCCAAAUUUAUCGUUUUGGUAAGCCCAGCUCUGCUGGAACAUGCCUGUGUGCAGGGGGGAAACUUAAUGCUGACACAGACUGCCCAUAGAAUUGGUGGGUGCCCCUUUCCUGAAGGCAUUCAAGGCCAGAUUGCACGGGGCCCUGAGCAGCAUGAUCACCUGCGUGGUAACCCACCAGGUAUCCCUAGCUGGAAGGGACCUACAAGGAUUAUCAGGUCUGAUUCCUGGCAUAGAAGAUAAGGCUUAAGGACUGAGGGGGAUCAGCCUUCCCAACUCCAGCCUCAAGUCAGUACUGAUUACAGUGAUGGCAUUUCUGACACAAGGUAUAGGUAGGGCUCAGCCUGUUGGGAAGAGGUGAAGGUAACAAGGAGGAGAAGCUAGGACGACAACCAGGCAGAAACUCUGGGGCUCCUGCAUUGGGUCCUCCAGCAAUACCAGCCAAAGUACUGAAAAAAGAAAGAAAGAAAAUUCUGAAACAACCUCAAUUUGCACCAGAAUGAAUUUUCACCCCACUGCUGGACUUUAAAGCCCUUGAGUUCCUCUUCCCAGGAGCUUGCUGGCAUUUGGCUGAGUGAGAGGAGAUGCACCCCUAUAACACGAGGAUUAGCUUCUUAUCGAAGGAAUUUGUUCGUGAGAGCUGCAGGUAUGUAUGGUGCAGACUACAUCCCUGUGGACUUCAAUAUCUGAAUGGUGAGGAAAAGGAAUGGGAAUCCAUUCAUCCCACACCUGGAGCGGGGGAACGAAGAGGCCAUCCCCUGAGCAUCAGACUCUCCACAGCUGCUGCCUGACCCAGACACUGCAACCUUUCCUGAGACCCUUUCUUUGGAAGCCAGCCCUGGCCUGGGGUUGAGGGCUGAAGCCAUGCUGAGAGAGGAAGCCAGCAUUUCCCAGGUCAAACUUUGCAUUGUUUUCCAGGCAUGUGCUUCACUGUUGAAAGCAGGUACUCUGGAGAAGGCUUUUUUUUCCCUGAUAGUCAAUAAUUAAUUUGCUUAACUCAGAAUUGCGUUAUUUUUGAAUUCUCAGCCAAGUUUGAAUUCUCAGCAUUUGGGAACAAGUACUUCUUUGGGGUUUUUAUUUCUCCUCUCUCGGUGGCUGCAGCAGCCCUCAGCCAAACUCCCUGUCUGCACCAUUUAAACCUCUCCAUAAAUCACACUUUGCAUCGCUGGGCUGUGUCUUCUCCCUCUCCAGCCUCUUGGUUUUUAACCAUUUGCAGCAAUGCGAUUGCACAAGAGCUGCAGCUCUGGUGUCUCAGAAGAAAGCUUCGCUCUGUCCAUUUGUCUGUCUGGGUACGAACACAACUGCACGUGCAGGGCUGCGGGGGACAUGGGUCUGAAUGCCACCCCAAGUGCUCAUUCACAGCCUCACAAAAGCUCAUGGCAAACCCGGCCGCUGCUUUCACUGCACGCAUUGUCAGCCUGACAGAGCACGCAGCCGCGCAGGCACAUCUCAAGCUGGUUGUUCGCAGGGAUUGCUGCCCUCAUUCUGCAAAGAGAUUGCUGCAGUUAACUUCUUCGUUCCUAGCUGGGCUGAGGUGUAUUUGUUUGUAUUCAAAUGCAUGAUUGCAUGCACGCUUACAGCUGCGCAGUUUGUUUAUAAGUGGGUCCGUGGGUGCAACACUUCUCCUUCAGUCACCAGGAAUACGAUUUGCAUGGAAGUAUUUCCUGGAAGGAUGAAGUGAUACAUCACCUCCUCCCCUGUGGAAGAAGAAAACGUAUAUCCUGCCAAAUCUUGUAGAGAGAACACGUUGGGAGAUAACUGCUAGGAAACUGUUCCAUAUGAGGGCAGUGAGGCCCUGGCACAGAGAGCUGUGGGUGCCCCAUCACUGCAGGUGCUCAAGGCCGGGUUGGAUGGGUGCUGGGCAGCCUGCUCCAACAAAGGUGUCCCUGCCUGUGGCAGAGGGACUUGGUGGCCUUUAAAAUCCCUUCCAUUCCCUUAUCCGUAUCUCUUCCAUCUCCCUAGCUCUCUACUACUUAAAAAAAAAAAAAAAAAUAGGAGGUGUUUACUUAUUUUUAGUGUUAAUUAUCUCAGAUAACUGCAGCCUGAUACCACCCCAUACAAUAACAUGUUCUGAAAGUAACACAGGGAGUUUGCUUUCAUUUCUGUGUCCAAUGGUCUGAGUUCAGUGAUCAAGUCCUUAUGUGCAAUCGUAACAGCAAGAAACUUCCUCGUUUAGGAACAAAACCAAGAAUUUUCAGUCAUUCAAACCUCAGAGAGAAAACACCCAUCACCACAUGAUAUAAACCCACAACAGUUAUCACUACUGUAGCUCCUUGAGAGGGGAGAAGUGAUCACAGACAGAAAACCAAACAAAGGCCUUGCAGUGCCAGACGCAGAUUUAGAACACUGCCAUUCCUUUGUCACCCAAACAUUUUGGGCUGGCUGUGAUUUCACGCUGACAGACUGAUCUGUCUCCGUGGUAUGAGGAAGCCACACAGUUCAAACCUGCACCCACAUUCUCCACCGUGCCGCCAAAGAGGUGGGGGAAAUACGUACGUGUUCACAAUUCAACCCAGUGAAUCCUCAUUGGAAGAUCAAACAUUCCAAAGUUAAGAUAGUUACUGAGGCUCUAACACUCAGUUGGGCACACGUGGGACCCUCACCUGCCCCAGCAGGGACACCCCAAGCAGGGUACCCAGGCCCACAUCUGGGUGGCUUUAGGGCAUCCCCAUAGAGGAGACCCCAUAGCUCUCUGGUCCCUGUGCCAGUGCUCCAGCACUGCCCAGCACAGCAGUGCUGCCUGAUGGGCAGGGGGAGCUCCUGGGCUCCAGGCUGUGCCCAGAGCCUCUGGACAUCACUGAACAGAUCCUGGCUCCAUCCCCUUUGCCUCCUCCCUCCACAUUGGUGAGAUCCCCCCAAGCCUUGCAAGUCACAUGGGAGGUAAAAGUCACAGGUCUGGGGAAAACCACAUCCCAUGGAUCCAUGGGGAGAGGAAUUAACAUCUUGGCCAUGACCUGGUGGGAUUUAUCUCAGGAAUUGCCCAGGCUGGUGCUGGGAAACACUGUUUCUGGGUAUCACCUGUUCCAUCAGCACCCACGUGUGCUGCGCACCCAUGCUCGCAGUUUGCAUCCCACAGGGGCUUUUUGCUAUGGGGGAGAGGUGGGUUGGGUUCCUGCACUGGAAUCACCAGCUGAAAACGAGUAAAAAAACCAGAGAAUUCAUCGAGGCCACAUCUUGCAACGUGACAGCAGCUCAGCUGUAAGCAAUGGUACGUGUAUGGAUGGCUCUGGUCAGUCUGCCAGCAAUCCACACCAGUGCCUGAUGAAGCCUAAAAAUAUUCCUCUGCUCCUUUCCCUCGGGGACUUGGUAGCUUCCUGGGUAUUUUGUCUUUGGAAAGGUUUGGCGUAAGGAGUAAUAGCCUGUAAAGCACUAAAGAGACCAAGUGUAAUUGAUGCCUGGGAAUUGGAUUAAACCCCUUCAGUGCAUCAUCACACCUCUCGCUCCUGGAAGGGGGAUUAUCUGGCAGAUGGAAACCGCAUUCAGAUGGACUGCUUGCUUCCCAAACACACCAUUCUUCUUGUCGGGCAGAACAGAGCAGGAGGAGAAUGGAGAAUGAGGGAUGUUAAAGCAUGGACUGCCACAAACAUGCCCGAGUUCUCCUCCACACCGCCAAGGUUUGCAGAAAUAACAUCACACAACCUUAGGGGUUGUGUGCCUGAAAUUAAAUGGGAAUUGCAAGCUGCAAAGAGACAGAGGCAAUGGUUUGUUGUGCUCCAGAUUCUCCUUAGAUCCACCAUCUCUGGACUGUGACAAUUCCCAGUGGCCAGAAGGCAGGAAGGGAACCCUCACGCUAAAGGCACAGAUGGUGUUUACAGCUGGAGAAAGAGCUUCUGUGCUAGGAAACGUUCCCUCUUCCUUGGAGCAGCACAGCAGAGGACUUGUGCAAGAUGAAGACAGAAAUGCAUAUGGCCUUGUCUGUCUUAAUAGGACAAUGUAAUAAGCACCGUUUGGACAGGCUCACCCCAGCCGUAAUUCUUUUCUUGCCAAGCCGAGCAAAACAAAGGAUGACUGUGGUUUGCAGGGUGCUAAAGUGAGUGCUGACCCAAAAGUGCCAGCCAGCUCUUUGCAGGGCUCACGGAGUUCAACCAGAACAGCGUGUCGUGUCUUUGAGGUGACCAGAACCGAGGCAGAAAUGGACACACAUGCAGUCAGGAAGCUCACGAGCCAACUUACAUAGGAGCACCGUCUUCUGCUGGCGAGUCUCAGAGCGUGCUGCAAAGCAUUAAAGGAUCAUCUGCAUGAGAAGGGAUGUGAUGUGUCUGAGAUCACAUGAGACAUCUGUGCUUGAGUUGGGAACAGAGCCCAGACCUUGUGAGUGUUACGGACAUUUGCUCUGAGCACACAGCUUCUCCUUGCACUGUGUCUGGGCAGCUUGGAGCUGCUCCUCCUUCAUCACCUCGCAGCAGCCCAUAGCGAAGCCAGAGUGGAACCGGAGGCGCUGUGCUCUCCAGCUAACCAGGAGCAGCUGCUGAACGCUGCAGUGAGAAAACAGCAUUUCAUUUGUAGUGACAUUGCAGCAACUGAGCAAAAAAAAAAAUCAACCCAAAACACACAAAUGUGAUGCAAAUCACUGCCCAGAAACAGCGGCUAAGAGUCGCCAUGGUGUAACCCAGCACUGCCCUUUGUCACGUUUUCGGGUUGCACACAGAGGUAACCACCCCUUGGCUGGCACACAUCUGUCGCUGCACGCAGGCAUACGUACUUAAGAAGACAUUUUCUUCCCCGGUGCAUGGAAGGAUCAAUUGCAGUGCAUUUUUCUGACACGGUGGAAAAAACCUGGCAGUGAGAGAGCAACCUUCGCCCCCCAUUAAAGAUACUAAAACCAGCUCUAAUGGGAGUGCCAGGAUAUCACCUCUCCUUUCCCCUCCUUUUUUAUCCCAGUGUUUAACUCAGCAUAUCCAUCCGGUGUUUCUCAGCCUGCUGUCCCCAACAGCUGCAGUAAUGCAGCAUCUGACAUCCUCCCACCUAAAUUAAUAGCAGUUUCAAUUACAUGAGGUCUGAUAACCCCAUUUCUAAGAGCUCUGGGUGAGACCUUGCUAGGAAACCAGAGCCGUGCUACAGAGCUGAUGCGUUGGGGGUGGCACAUGUAGAAUGCUUCAGUGUCUGAACGGGAGCUAAGAGAAAGACAGUCUCUUUAGCAGGGUCUGUUGUGAUAAGACAAGGGGAAAUGGUUUCUAACUAAAAAGAGAAGAGAUUUAGACUGGAUAUAAGGAAGAAGUUCUUUACAGUCAGGGUAUUGAGGCACUGGCACAGGUUGCCAAGAGAUGUGGUGGAUGCCCCGUCCUUGGAGACACUCAAGGUCAGGCUGGAUGGGGCUCUGAGCACCUGAUGGGGCUGUAGGUGUCCCUGUUCAUUGCAGGGGAUUGCCAGACGGCCUUUAUGGGUCCCUUCCAACUCAACCAAUUCUAAGAUCUGUGUGGGUCCCUUCCAGCUGGGAUACUCCGUGACUCCUACAUGUGAUACCCAAGUGUGAAGUCCCUGUGAUAAGGGUGAGCUCAGAGCCUAUCCCUGCAGGUGCACCACAAGGACUGCGACUUCCUGAAACAAUCCCUUCUGCCAAUACGCUGCGAUAGCUGAGGUGGCUUUUGGCUCUCGCGGUGUGAUUUCUGACCCAUUCCUUCAGAAAGGCUUUGUUAUCAGCUUUCCAGGAGGGACAGAAGGGCAAGCUCUGUUUUUCAAAGUGACUCAAGCCCUGGGAGUGCACAGCCAACACAAGUUUUCCUUAUUUAAUUGCAUGCGGAUGUUUUCCAGAUGAUUUAUUAGGCAGUAAAUAAACCCUCUCAUAUCCCCAGCACUCCUCCACAGACUGAAGCCGGAUUUAGAAAGUAAUCCCAGGGAAAACAAUUAUAUAUAUAUAUAUAUAUAAUAUAAUAUGUAUAUAUAUCUCAAAGAGAACUGAGAAUGUUGAAAA